GGAUAAGAAAUAAACAAUAAACCUAAAAGUUAUAUUUAUUUUAUGAAUUCCUGCAAUAUACAAUUUUUAUAACAUACUACAAUAAAACAAACAAUAUUUACUUAACAAUUCAAAUUAGGGAGUGUUUUUUUUUGUUAGUCCGUAAAGAAAACUCUUUGAAACUGACAUUCUACUGUAAAUUUUCUAAUCUACUUAAACCAAUAGAAAAAACUGUGAUAUGAAUGUUACUAACAGAAAAUUAAAUAGUGUCUCUAAACACGAGGGAACUUGAAAAAUAUAUAUCUGCUCUAUUUAACUGUCAUAGGAGGUUAAAUGUUGUCAACUCCAUCUCUAUACAAAUGUAUAUUAUAAGACCACUUAAAUUGCUAUCUGUUAGUAAUUAUAGUAGAAAUAAGAACGUGAGAAUAAAAAAUUUAUCAGCGUUCACCAUUAAAUAGAAAAUUAUGUUGGUAUAGUACGCCAAUUGGAUGUUUGUACAAUUAUAGCGUUAUUCAUGAAUUAUUUUUGAUAUUGAUUCUCUUUUCUACUUACAAAACUAUAAAAUUAAGCCCCUUUUCCUUAUAUAACGAAAUAUAUCAAACAAAUAUAGUAGUAUGACGAAUGACGGUGAUGGAUUCGCGAGUUUUGUCUUUUCUAGUCUAGGUCUCGAGUAUAUACAGUGAUGAGCAUGCUAAUCGCCGGCAAAAUAACGCAAAAGGUGAAAAACAUAUUAAGUUAUGAGAUAAAAAGAGAUGAAACUAGUAGAGGUAAGAAAUUUAGCGAUAGAAACGUAUAAAUUUACUUUAUAUUGAUUGUUUCCGACCUUUAGACUUAUCAGAGGAUAGGAGUAUGUCAACUGUAAAUAUGUCCCUGUAAAUAUUCUCUUUAUUCUGUCACUGAAUAAAAAGAAAAUUUUUGACUGUUUGGUAUCUUUCUUGUCGGAUAGUAAAAUAUUAUUGUAAUUAGUUACAGGUAUUUGUAAAAUAUGUUAAAAAAAAA
rnacentral:lncRNA from 1 species